rnacentral:rRNA from 2 species
UCCUGACUGACCGAUAGUGAACCAGUACCGUGAGGGAAAGGCGAAAAGAACCCCGGCGAGGGGAGUGAAAAAGAACCUGAAACCGUGUACGUACAAGCAGUGGGAGCACGCUUAGGCGUGUGACUGCGUACCUUUUGUAUAAUGGGUCAGCGACUUAUAUUCUGUAGCAAGGUUAACCGAAUAGGGGAGCCGAAGGGAAACCGAGUCUUAACUGGGCGUUAAGUUGCAGGGUAUAGACCCGAAACCCGGUGAUCUAGCCAUGGGCAGGUUGAAGGUUGGGUAACACUAACUGGAGGACCGAACCGACUAAUGUUGAAAAAUUAGCGGAUGACUUGUGGCUGGGGGUGAAAGGCCAAUCAAACCGGGAGAUAGCUGGUUCUCCCCGAAAGCUAUUUAGGUAGCGCCUCGUGAAUUCAUCUCCGGGGGUAGAGCACUGUUUCGGCAAGGGGGUCAUCCCGACUUACCAACCCGAUGCAAACUGCGAAUACCGGAGAAUGUUAUCACGGGAGACACACGGCGGGUGCUAACGUCCGUCGUGAAGAGGGAAACAACCCAGACCGCCAGCUAAGGUCCCAAAGUCAUGGUUAAGUGGGAAACGAUGUGGGAAGGCCCAGA